rnacentral:rRNA from 1 species
AUUCCGGUUGAUCCUGCCGGAGGCCAUUGCUAUCGGAGUCCGAUUUAGCCAUGCUAGUCGUGCGAGUUCAGACUCGCGGCACCGAGCUCARUAACACGUGGCCAAACUACCCUACAGAGACGGAUACCCUCGGGAAACUGAGGUUAACCCGUCAUACCGAUCUCAGGCUUGAAUCGCAGAGAUCACAAAACGCCCCGGCGCUGUAGGAUGUGGCUGCGGWUGAUUAGGUAGACGGUGGGGUAACGGCCCACCGUGCCCAUAAUCAGUACAGGUUGUGAGAGCAAGAACCUGGAGACGGAAUCUGAGACAAGAUUCCGGGCCCUACGGGGCGCAGCAGGCGCRAAACCUUUACACUGCACGCACGUGCGRUAAGGGGACUCCGAGUGCGAGGGCAUAUCGUCCUCGCUUUCGUGUACCGUAGGGUGGUACACCAACAAGGGCUGGGCAAGACCGGUGCCAGCCGCCGCGGUAAUACCGGCAGCCCGAGUGAUGGCCGAUYUUAUUGGGCCUAAAGCGUCCGUAGCU